CCCUUCCCUCUUCGCUAAUGUACCUCCUGGAUGCUGAUUCUUUUAAGCUACGAAGAAUUUCCUUUUGGGAGGUGAAACCCUCCAGCUCCUCCUGUUCAGAGGAAAGUGCUAGUGAUGGUAAUACGGGGUGACACUAAAUAAACAGUUAAAGCAGAGCUGGAAAGAUGGAGUUAAUUAUCCAGUGAGCUACAUUUAAACCGAGACCAGGAGGGGCUGAUUUGUUUUGGCGCAGGGAACUGAGAAGGAGACGAGCCACCGAGGUCUCCUUGCUCCUCUUUGGUGGCUCUUUAACUUGUCCUUGCUGUCGCCAGCCCGGGGACCGGCGUCUUUUGGCGAGGGUAGGGAACCCCCCGGCUGGGACCCCCGAACCGUGGCGCGCCCGGCCCCGUGGCCGCAGCUCUGGGAGUCUCUGUGCGAGCCGUGCAUGGGAACUGGCGAUUUCAGGGCGUCCAGAGGUGAUUUUUUUCCAUGUUUGUUUGCUUUUGUUUCCCAGAAGUUAGAUAAAUUCUCGUCCACGCGGCUCGCCGAUGCCUGCGCUCUCAGUUGGAUUCAUCUGGAAUGAUUCUGGAGGUGCUGACUGCAGGGAAGAAGUUACCAGGUUCCCACGUAUCACAACUGACAGGUAAGUUCACGCCCCUUCUCAGCCCUGCUGCAGAAUCUUAUUUUGCACUUUAUUUUUUUAAAU
rnacentral:lncRNA from 1 species